AUAAAAGUCCAAACAGAAGACAGACGAUGACGACAAGCGUUCCUCCAACCAGAACCACCAGGAAAAAUGAAUGUUGCAAGAUAAAGUCAACAAGAGUCUGAAGUCCAAAGAAACCUACAGGUCCUGAUGAGGGACCAGACUAAGCGCAGCCUGAAAACCCCUUAUGGACUCAAACACAUCUGAAGUGAAAACCUGCCUCUGCUGGAGGUCACAGGUGCUGCGAUCCAGUAUCCCAGGUGAGGAGCGGUGAAGGUCCACAUCAGUUUCCCAUCUACCAGCGUCAUCUUUCCCAGUCCUCUCC